rnacentral:rRNA from 1 species
UAGGGAAUAUUGCAAAAUGGGCGAAAGCCCGAUGCAGCAACGCCGCGUGGGCGAUGAAGGCCUUCGGGUCGUAAAGCCCUUUUUGAGGGGAUGAGGAAGGACAGUACCCUCAGAAUAAGCCUCGGCUAACUACGUGCCAGCAGCCGCGGUAAAACGUAGGAGGCGAGCGUUAUCCGGAUUUACUGGGCGUAAAGCGCGUGCAGGCGGAUUGGAGAGUUGGAUGUGAAAGCUCCCGGCUUAACUGGGAGAGGUCGUUCAAUACUUCCAGUCUGGAGUGCAGU